AGGGCGCACGGUGGAUGCCUUGGCACUAGAAGCCGAUGAAGGACGUUACUAACGACGAUAUGCUUUGGGGAGCUGUAAGUAAGCUUUGAUCCAGAGAUUUCCGAAUGGGGAAACCCAGCAUGAGUUAUGUCAUGUUAUCGAUAUGUGAAUACAUAGCAUAUCAGAAGGCACACCCGGAGAACUGAAACAUCUUAGUACCCGGAGGAAGAGAAAGAAAAUUCGAUUCCCUUAGUAGCGGCGAGCGAAACGGGAAGAGCCCAAACCAACAAGCUUGCUUGUUGGGGUUGUAGGACACUCUAUACGGAGUUACAAAGGACGACAUUAGACGAAUCAUCUGGAAAGAUGAAUCAAAGAAGGUAAUAAUCCUGUAGUCGAAAAUGUUGUCUCUCUUGAGUGGAUCCUGAGUACGACGGAGCACGUGAAAUUCCGUCGGAAUCUGGGAGGACCAUCUCCUAAGGCUAAAUACUCUCUAGUGACCGAUAGUGAACCAGUACCGUGAGGGAAAGGUGAAAAGCACCCCGGAAGGGGAGUGAAAUAGAACCUGAAACCGUGUGCUUACAAGUAGUCAGAGCCCGUUAAUGGGUGAUGGCGUGCCUUUUGUAGAAUGAACCGGCGAGUUACGAUUUGAUGCAAGGUUAAGCAGUAAAUGUGGAGCCGUAGCGAAAGCGAGUCUGAAUAGGGCGUUUAGUAUUUGGUCGUAGACCCGAAACCAGGUGAUCUACCCUUGGUCAGGUUGAAGUUCAGGUAACACUGAAUGGAGGACCGAACCGACUUACGUUGAAAAGUGAGCGGAUGAACUGAGGGUAGCGGAGAAAUUCCAAUCGAACCUGGAGAUAGCUGGUUCUCUCCGAAAUAGCUUUAGGGCUAGCCUCAAGUGAUGAUUAUUGGAGGUAGAGCACUGUUUGGACGAGGGGCCCCUCUCGGGUUACCGAAUUCAGACAAACUCCGAAUGCCAAUUAAUUUAACUUGGGAGUCAGAACAUGGGUGAUAAGGUCCGUGUUCGAAAGGGAAACAGCCCAGACCACCAGCUAAGGUCCCAAAAUAUAUGUUAAGUGGAAAAGGAUGUGGCGUUGCCCAGACAACUAGGAUGUUGGCUUAGAAGCAGCCAUCAUUUAAAGAGUGCGUAAUAGCUCACUAGUCGAGUGACACUGCGCCGAAAAUGUACCGGGGCUAAACAUAUUACCGAAGCUGUGGAUUGUCCUUUGGACAAUGGUAGGAGAGCGUUCUAAGGGCGUUGAAGCAUGAUCGUAAGGACAUGUGGAGCGCUUAGAAGUGAGAAUGCCGGUGUGAGUAGCGAAAGACGGGUGAGAAUCCCGUCCACCGAUUGACUAAGGUUUCCAGAGGAAGGCUCGUCCGCUCUGGGUUAGUCGGGUCCUAAGCUGAGGCCGACAGGCGUAGGCGAUGGAUAACAGGUUGAUAUUCCUGUACCACCUAUAAUCGUUUUAAUCGAUGGGGGACGCAGUAGGAUAGGCGAAGCGUGCGAUUGGAUUGCACGUCUAAGCAGUAAGGCUGAGUAUUAGGCAAAUCCGGUACUCGUUAAGGCUGAGCUGUGAUGGGGAGAAGACAUUGUGUCUUCGAGUCGUUGAUUUCACACUGCCGAGAAAAGCCUCUAGAUAGAAAAUAGGUGCCCGUACCGCAAACCGACACAGGUAGUCAAGAUGAGAAUUCUAAGGUGAGCGAGCGAACUCUCGUUAAGGAACUCGGCAAAAUGACCCCGUAACUUCGGGAGAAGGGGUGCUCUUUAGGGUUAACGCCCAGAAGAGCCGCAGUGAAUAGGCCCAAGCGACUGUUUAUCAAAAACACAGGUCUCUGCUAAACCGUAAGGUGAUGUAUAGGGGCUGACGCCUGCCCGGUGCUGGAAGGUUAAGAGGAGUGGUUAGCUUCUGCGAAGCUACGAAUCGAAGCCCCAGUAAACGGCGGCCGUAACUAUAACGGUCCUAAGGUAGCGAAAUUCCUUGUCGGGUAAGUUCCGACCCGCACGAAAGGCGUAACGAUUUGGGCACUGUCUCAACGAGAGACUCGGUGAAAUCAUAGUACCUGUGAAGAUGCAGGUUACCCGCGACAGGACGGAAAGACCCCGUGGAGCUUUACUGUAGCCUGAUAUUGAAAUUCGGCACAGCUUGUACAGGAUAGGUAGGAGCCUUUGAAACGUGAGCGCUAGCUUACGUGGAGGCGCUGGUGGGAUACUACCCUAGCUGUGUUGGCUUUCUAACCCGCACCACUUAUCGUGGUGGGAGACAGUGUCAGGCGGGCAGUUUGACUGGGGCGGUCGCCUCCUAAAAGGUAACGGAGGCGCUCAAAGGUUCCCUCAGAAUGGUUGGAAAUCAUUCAUAGAGUGUAAAGGCAUAAGGGAGCUUGACUGCGAGACCUACAAGUCGAGCAGGGUCGAAAGACGGACUUAGUGAUCCGGUGGUUCCGCAUGGAAGGGCCAUCGCUCAACGGAUAAAAGCUACCCCGGGGAUAACAGGCUUAUCUCCCCCAAGAGUUCACAUCGACGGGGAGGUUUGGCACCUCGAUGUCGGCUCAUCGCAUCCUGGGGCUGUAGUCGGUCCCAAGGGUUGGGCUGUUCGCCCAUUAAAGCGGUACGCGAGCUGGGUUCAGAACGUCGUGAGACAGUUCGGUCCCUAUCCGUCGUGGGCGUAGGAAAUUUGAGAGGAGCUGUCCUUAGUACGAGAGGACCGGGAUGGACAUACCUCUGGUGUACCAGUUGUCGUGCCAACGGCAUAGCUGGGUAGCUAUGUGUGGACGGGAUAAGUGCUGAAAGCAUCUAAGCAUGAAGCCCCCCUCAAGAUGAGAUUUCCCAACUUCGGUUAU
rnacentral:rRNA from 1 species